AUUGGCUUACCGUGGCAGUGACGGUUAACGGGGGAUUAGGGUUCGAUUCCGGAGAGGGAGCCUGAGAAACGGCUACCACAUCUAAGGAAGGCAGCAGGCGCGCAAAUUACCCAAUUCUAACAGCAUAAGAGAGGUAGUGACAAGAAAUAACAGUACAAGGCAGUUAAAAUGCUUUGUAAUUGGAAUGAUAGAAAUUUAAAUACUUUUUAAAGUAUCAAUUGGAGGGCAAGUCUGGUGCCAGCAGCCGCGGUA
rnacentral:rRNA from 1 species